rnacentral:rRNA from 1 species
AGUGAACGCUGGCGGUAGGCCUAACACAUGCAAGUCGAACGGCAGCACAGUAAGAGCUUGCUCUUACGGGUGGCGAGUGGCGGACGGGUGAGGAAUACAUCGGAAUCUACUUUUUCGUGGGGGAUAACGUAGGGAAACUUACGCUAAUACCGCAUACGACCUACGGGUGAAAGCAGGGGAUCUUCGGACCUUGCGCGAUUGAAUGAGCCGCUGUCGGAUUAGCUAGUUGGCGGGGUAAAGGCCCACCAAGGCGACGAUCCGUAGCUGGUCGGGGGGGAUGAUCGGCCAAACUGGAACGGGAACACGGUCCAGGCUCCUACGGGAGGCAGCAGUGGGGAAUAUUGGACAAUGGGCGCAAGCCUGAUCCAGCCAUACCGCGUGGGUGAAGAAGGCCUUCGGGUUGUAAAGCCCUUUUGUUGGGAAAGAAAAGCAGCAGGUUAAUACCCCGCUGUUCUGACGGUACCCAAAGAAUAAGCACCGGCUAACUUCGUG